CCUACGGGGGGCAGCAGUGAGGAAUAUUGGUCAAUGGGCUCGCGCCUGAACCAGCCAAGUAGCGUGAAGGAAGACUGCCCUAUGGGUUGUAAACCUCUUUUAUCAAGGAGUAACGUGAGCCACGUGUGCCUUUUUGGAGGUACUCUAUGAAUAAGGAUCGGCCAAAUCCGUGCCAGCAGCCGCGGUAAUUCGGAGGAUGCGGGCGUUUUCCGGAUUUAUUUGGGUUAAAGGGAUCGUAGAUGGGAUGUUAAGUUAGUUGGGAAAGUUGGCGGCUUAACCGUAAAAUUGCAAUUGAUACUGGCGGUCUUGAGUACAGUAGAGGUAUGCGGAAUGCGUGGUGUAGCGGUGAAAUGCUUAGAUAUCACGAAGAACUCCGAUUGCGAAGGCAGCUUACCAGACUGCCACUGACAUUGAAGCUCGAAAGUGUGGGUAUCGAACAGGAUUAGAUACCCGUGUAGUC
rnacentral:rRNA from 1 species